rnacentral:hammerhead_ribozyme from 1 species
ACCAGCUGACGAGUCUCAAAUAGGACGAAACGCGCGUCCUGGAU